GUGGGGAAUCUUGCGCAAUGGGCGAAAGCCUGACGCAGCCAUGCCGCGUGAAUGAUGAAGGUCUUAGGAUUGUAAAAUUCUUUCACCGGGGACGAUAAUGACGGUACCCGGAGAAGAAGCUCCGGCUAACUUCGUGCCAGCAGCCGCGGUAAUACGAAGGGGGCUAGCGUUGCUCGGAAUUACUGGGCGUAAAGGGCGCGUAGGCGGACAGCUUAGUCAGAGGUGAAAGCCCAGGGCUCAACCUUGGAAUUGCCUUUGAUACUGGCUGUCUUGAGUGUGGGAGAGGUGAGUGGAACUCCGAGUGUAGAGGUGAAAUUCGUAGAUAUUCGGAAGAACACCAGUGGCGAAGGCGACUCACUGGCCCAAUACUGACGCUGAGGCGCGAAAGCGUGGGGAGCAAACAGGAUUAGAUACCCGUGUAGUCC
rnacentral:rRNA from 1 species